rnacentral:rRNA from 1 species
UACGUAGGGGGCGAGCGUUGUCCGGAUUUAUUGGGCGUAAAGAGCGUGUAGGCGGCCAGGUAGGUCUGCUGUGAAAACUCGAGGCUCAACCUCGAGACGUCGGCGGAAACCAUCUGGCUAGAGUCCGGAAGAGGAGAUUGGAAUUCCUGGUGUAGCGGUGGAAUGCGCAGAUAUCAGGAGGAACACCGAUGGCGAAGGCAGAUCUCUGGGCCGUAACUGACGCUGAGGAGCGAAAGCAUGGGGAGCGAACGG